GGCGGCGUGCCUAAUACAUGCAAGUCGAACGAACUUCCGUUAAUUGAUCAGGACGUGCUUGCACUGAAUGAGAUUUUAACACGAAGUGAGUGGCGGACGGGUGAGUAACACGUGGGUAACCUGCCCAGAAGCAGGGGAUAACACCUGGAAACAGAUGCUAAUACCGUAUAACAGAGAAAACCGCCUGGUUUUCUUUUAAAAGAUGGCUCUGCUAUCACUUCUGGAUGGACCCGCGGCGCAUUAGCUAGUUGGUGAGGUAACGGCUCACCAAGGCGAUGAUGCGUAGCCGACCUGAGAGGGUAAUCGGCCACAUUGGGACUGAGACACGGCCCAGACUCCUACGGGAGGCAGCAGUAGGGAAUCUUCCACAAUGGACGCAAGUCUGAUGGAGCAACGCCGCGUGAGUGAAGAAGGGUUUCGGCUCGUAAAGCUCUGUUGUUAAAGAAGAACGUGGGUGAGAGUAACUGUUCACCCAGUGACGGUAUUUAACCAGAAAGCCACGGCUAACUACGUGCCAGCAGCCGCGGUAAUACGUAGGUGGCAAGCGUUAUCCGGAUUUAUUGGGCGUAAAGCGAGCGCAGGCGGUCUUUUAAGUCUAAUGUGAAAGCCUUCGGCUCAACCGAAGAAGUGCAUUGGAAACUGGGAGACUUGAGUGCAGAAGAGGACAGUGGAACUCCAUGUGUAGCGGUGAAAUGCGUAGAUAUAUGGAAGAACACCAGUGGCGAAGGCGGCUGUCUGGUCUGUAACUGACGCUGAGGCUCGAAAGCAUGGGUAGCGAACAGGAUUAGAUACCCUGGUAGUCCAUGCCGUAAACGAUGAUUACUAAGUGUUGGAGGGUUUCCGCCCUUCAGUGCUGCAGCUAACGCAUUAAGUAAUCCGCCUGGGGAGUACGACCGCAAGGUUGAAACUCAAAAGAAUUGACAGGGGCCCGCACAAGCGGUGGAGCAUGUGGUUUAAUUCGAAGCUACGCGAAGAACCUUACCAGGUCUUGAC
rnacentral:rRNA from 1 species